rnacentral:rRNA from 1 species
CCUACGGGAGGCAGCAGUGGGGAAUCUUCCGCAAUGGGCGAAAGCCUGACGGAGCAACGCCGCGUGAACGAUGAAGGUCUUAGGAUCGUAAAGUUCUGUUGUUAGGGACGAAGGGCAAGGGUUAUAAUACAGCCUUUGUUUGACGGUACUCAACAAGGAAGUGACGGCUAACUACGUGCCAGCAGCCGCGGUAAAACGUAGGUCACAAGCGUUGUCCGGAAUUAUUGGGCGUAAAGGGAGCGCAGGCGGGAAACUAAGCGGAUCUUAAAAGUGCGGGGCUCAACCCCGUGAUGGGGUCCGAACUGGUUUUCUUGAGUGCAGGAGAGGAAAGCGGAAUUCCCAGUGUAGCGGUGAAAUGCGUAGAUAUUGGGAAGAACACCAGUGGCGAAGGCGGCUUUCUGGACUGUAACUGACGCUGAGGCUC